AAAUUUACAAGCUUCCAAAAGUAAACAAAGAAAAUGGCAGUGAAUAGGAUCAUCUUAAUUUUGACCCACCUAAGCACAGGGAAAUCUACAGUGGAAAACAUAUCUGACUGAAAGAGAUUGUUUUCCUGGAAACUCUCCUUAAAGCCUUGACAUCCGCAACUGACCAAAGAUAUUCAGAAGCCUAAAAACAAAACCUGGGGUAUGUGUGUGAGGGUGCGAGGAGGAGGUUCGAUGCACCUCAGAAAUUCUCUCAUUAUUCUCUUUUAGUGCUGACUGUCAGAACUGGUACUACUCACACUUAAGUGCACUGAAAGCC
rnacentral:lncRNA from 1 species